GUGAAUCAUCGAAUCUUUGAACGCAACUUGCGCUCUCUGGUAUUCCGGAGAGCAUGCCUGUUUGAGUGUCAUGAAAUCUCAACCACCAGGGUUUCUUGGUGGCUUGGAUCUGGGCAUCUGCCAGUCUCGCACUGGCUUGCCUUAAAGGAGUUAGCGUGUGUCACGUGUCGUUUCUGGCGUAAUAAGUUUCGCUGGGGAAGACAUGAGAAGUGCGCUUCGAAUCGUCCUCUGGACAAUUUUUUGAACUCUGGCCUCAAAUCAGGUAGGACUACCCGCUGAACUUAAGCAUAUCAAUAAGCGGAGGA
rnacentral:misc_RNA from 1 species